UCACUGGGGAACUCCAGCUGUGAAACAAAAAAUGUUGCCUUUCUGCCAUCAGGAAUGGCACCUGAAGCCACCCAGCCAGGUCUCAGCUCCCAGGUGGGGCUUUAGCGCAGCCAGCACACGUCUGCAGUUCAUACCAUUCAAGCCCCCAGAUCUGUGCCUUUCUGUUAAGUGAAGGUGCCUCUACAGUGGACAUGUGAGAGUGUGAGCAUGCGUUCACUUGCAUCGUGAGUGCUGAAGUUAGUCCAUGGCAGCCCUACAGUGGCGAUUGUGUAGACACAUGAGGGCUCCCCAGAAGUCUCUCUCCUGAGCCUGGCCCCAGUUGGUUCCCCAGUGGAAGGCAGGCCCAGCAUACAUCCCUCACCAGAUAAGACUCACCUCCAGUCUGCCCAGGAGAUGGGCAGAGCUCUUGUCUCCUCCUGAGCACUGGGGGGGCACCAUUAGGUGAGAAAAUGGUGAAUUUGCUGACUCCCUACAACCUGCUGGUGAAUUCUGUUCUUUAAGUUCUGAAUCUCAAUGGCUUGGGAAAAAAACCAUCAAGCAAGAAGGAGUCAAGUCCGGGAGUUCCCAUUCUGGCGCAGCAGAAAUGAAUCCAACUAGUAACCCUGAGGUUGCAGGUUCGAGCCCUAGCCUCUCUCAGUGGGUUAAGGAUCCGGCAUUGCCAUGAGUUGUGGUGUAGGUCACAGACACAGCUCAGAUCCUAUGUUGCUGUGGCUGUGGCCACGCCAUUAAGGAGUUCAGUCAGUUGUUCAAACCUUUAUCGGGCUCCUGCUGUUGGCCAGUUGCACUUCCCAGCCUUGUAAGUACUCCCUGUGUGCUGAGUGGUGCACACACGCACACACUUCUUUUCCUUCUCACAACAACCUUGUGACACAGGUGCCAUCAUCCUCCUCUCUUGCAGGUGAGCGUGUAGAGAGGCUGCCAGGCUCGCUUAGCUGGUCAGGAUUGAGCCCAGGUACAGAGCUCAGAGUCUAAGACACUGUAAAGACAAUGACCAUGCUGUGUUUGGGACUGCAGGAACAGAGAGCAUGUGCCUACCCCAGCCUGGCUGCAGCACUUGGGGACAUGUCCUGACUCCAACGGGUCUUGGGGAGUUGGACAAAGAAGGCGAAAGGCGUUCCUGGAAGAGGGGAUGGCACAUACAACGGCAGAGAAGUGGGCGGACCCUCAGCCUGUGCAGAAAACUGCAGGCAUUUGCCAAGGCAUGCAGGGAGCCUGGGGCAGCAGGGGCGCAAAUGCAGGGCUGAGACCUCAGAGAUGAACAGGGGCUGAGCAUGCAGUGCCUUGAAAUGCAGGCCCAGGAACCAGACUCUCCCCUGAGAGCAGCGGGAAGCUAACACAUGGAGCAUGCAGGGAAGUGACUUGUGGAUGUCACCGUCAUAAGGUCAUUGAUCACAGCAGGACAUGGACAAGGUUUGCAGAGCAGCAGUCUGGAGGCAGGGAGGCUGGUGAGGAGGCCGUCGAGGGUACCCAGCAGGGAGGUGAUGGGGGCCAGCAUGAAAUCAUGGAACGGGCAGCUCGGUGGCAGACAAGGCAGCUCCUGUCCAUUUGAGGGACAUCUGUGGACCCUCUCGCCACCCCCUUCGGGGGGCAAAACCUCAGCAGAACAAGACUGACCAGAAUGCAAAGGAUCCUGAUCCCAGAGUUCCCGUUGUGGCUCAAUGGAAACAAAUCUGAGUAGUAUCCAUGAGGAUGCAGGUUCUAUCCCUGGUCUCGAUCAGUGAGUUAGAGAUCUGGCGUUGCCAUGAGCUGCAGUGUAGGUUGCACACGCGGCUCAGACCUGGUGUUGCUGUGGCUGUGGCAUAGGCCAGAGGCUCAGCUCCGAUUUGACCCCUAGCCUGGGAAUCUCCAUAUGUCACGAGUGCAGCCCUAAAAAG
rnacentral:lncRNA from 1 species